ACGGAGGAUGCAAGCGUUAUCCGGAUUCAUUGGGUUUAAAGGGUGCGUAGGCGGCUUUUUAAGUCAGUGGUGAAAUCCUGCCGCUUAACGGUAGAAUUGCCAUUGAUACUGAGAAGCUUGAGUACAGUUGAGGUAAGCGGAAUGUGUAGUGUAGCGGUGAAAUGCUUAGAUAUUACACAGAACACCGAUUGCGAAGGCAGCUUACUAAACUGUUACUGACGCUGAUGCACGAAAGCGUGGGGAGCGAACAGGAUUAGAUACCCUGGUAGUCCACGCCGUAAACGAUGCUCACUCGCUGUAUGCGAUACACAGUAUGCGGCCAAGCGAAAGCAUUAAGUGAGCCACCUGGGGAGUACGAUCGCAAGGUUG
rnacentral:rRNA from 1 species